CCCUUAGAUGUUCUGGGCCGCACGCGCGCUACACUGACGAUGGCAACGAGUUUUUCCUUCGCCGAAAGGUGUGGGUAAUCUUUUGAAACAUCGUCGUGCUGGGGAUAGAUCAUUGCAAUUUUUGAUCUUGAACGAGGAAUUCCUAGUAAGCGCGAGUCAUCAGCUCGCGUUGAUUACGUCCCUGCCCUUUGUACACACCGCCCGUCGCUACUACCGAUUGAAUGGUUUAGUGAGGACUCCUGAUUGGCGCCGCCGCCCCGGCAACGGAGCAGCGGACUGCCGAAAAGUUGUUCAAACUUGAUCAUUUAGAGGAAGUAAAAGUCGUAUCA
rnacentral:rRNA from 1 species